CGUCCCUGUCUCCUCCCAACAUCGCCGUCGUCGCCCACUCGCCCCCGUCCCUGCAGUCGCCCGUGCUCCGCCCGCUCCACCAGGGCGCCUCGCCCUAGGGGAUGGUCUCCGACCACCUCCCUUCACCGCCGCCACGUGCUCAGUGACGCCUAGGUCAUCGGCGCUGAAGUUUGGAGGCCCUGUACGUGCUUCACAGAGAUCGCCGACCAUGGGCUACGCAGAGAUCGCCAUCCGCCCCUCUGGGAGCGGCAAGAAAAUACAGAGGCAGGGUGGCCUAUCUCGAAGAUUUUCAAAUGUGUCCUAUUACGGUCUCACAACCCCGCCAUAUAAACUGGAUGCUCUGGAACCUUAUAUGAGCAAGAGGACAGUUGAACUUCACUGGGGUAAGCACCAUCAAGAUUACAUGGAUGGCUUGAAUAAUCAGCUGGCUACCAGCCCUCUGUAUGGAUACACUCUGGAGGAUCUGAUAAAAGAAGCUUAUAACAAUGACAAUCCAUUACCAGAAUAUAACAACACAGCACAGUGAAGAGAAAUGAGAGAAAGCUUUUGGUUGUUCAUACACGAAAUGCUAUCUCCCCACUUGCUUUUGGUGACAUUCACGCUUACUACUUAGACUACAAGGAUGAUAAGCUAACAUAUGUCACAAACUUCAUGGACCAUCUUGUCUCUUGGCAUACUGUCACUCUACGCAUGAUGCGUGCAGAGUCUUUUGUGAACCUUGGUGAGCCAAAUAUCCUAGAGGCUUGAGCUACAGAUACACCCUAGUUAUCAUAAUGAGGCAUUCUUCGGAUACAUCGGAUCAAAUCCUGCUGGAGGAGCCAGAGAGUUGGAAAAUCUCAUGUCUCACAAGAAAUGCUUAUCACCCCAAUGUCAUAUACGCCAAGAUAAGCUGCUGGGAUUUCACCAUUGCCCUUGGAUAUUGCUACAAGGAAAUCACUAGUCAGCAUCCAGUUUGAAGACAUGCAACAAAACAACUCUAGAAGCUAUGGAGCUGGUAGAUUCUGGAGUUGGCAGUAAGGCAGUGAUCCAACUUGGGCUUUGAAGCCAUGGUGCUUUCUCUAGACGGCUAUUAUGUCUGUAGUGUUGUUAGAAUAAUCCUGGUUCUGUGUUUUCAUAACUUCAUCAUGCUAGUGUUCUGUUGUAGCGGAACACAGAAUGGAACGGAACGAUAUUCUUGUUUUACUGGUUGAGCACUACACGACGAUUGUUUUUCUAGGGUGUUCUGGACAAAGAAAGCUUGUACCUUAAAACAGGAGGAUACAAGAAGCUGGAGUGGUUGUCUGAAGGCUUUUGAACUGCUUGAAGCAUUAGGUUAGCUCUGGAGAUUUUGUGAAUGAUCUAGCUAGCUAUCUGUAAAUGAUCUAGUUGUGAAUGAUAUUAUAAUUCUGAUGCUUUUGUGAAUAUAUAAUUGUGUUUGUGUAUAUUGAUUAACUGUGUAUGUCUUUAUGAUUUGUGUAUAAAAAUCUGUGAUUUGUGGUGCUU